ACCCGAUGGCAUAGUUCUUCCGCAUGGUAGAACUAUUAAAGAAUUUCGGUCAUCGAUGGGGAUGCGUUCCAUUAGGUUGUUGGCGGGGUAACGGCCCACCAAGCCUUCGAUGGAUAGGGGUUCUGAGAGGAAGGUCCCCCACAUUGGAACUGAGACACGGUCCAAACUCCUACGGGAGGCAGCAUG
rnacentral:rRNA from 1 species